GAUGAACGCUGGCGGCGUGCCUAAUACAUGCAAGUCGAGCGAACAGAUGAGGAUCUUGCUCCUCUUACGUUAGCGGCGGACGGGUGAGUAAAACGUGGAUAACCUACCUAUAAGACUGGGAUAACUUCGGGAAACCGGCGCUAAUACCGGAUAAUAUAUUGAACCGCAUGGUUCAAUAGUGAAAGACGGUUUUGCUGUCACUUAUAGAUGGAUCCGCGCCGAAUUAGCUAGUUGGUAAGGUAACGGCUUAACAAGGCAACGAUUCGUAGCCGACCUGAGAGGGUGAUCGGCCACACUGGAACUGAGACGCGGUCCAGACUCCUACGGGAGGCAGCGGUAGGGAAACUUCCGCAAUGGGCGAAAGCCUGACGUGGCAACGCCGCGUGGGGGAUGAAGGUCUUCGGAUCGUAAAACUCUGUUAUUAGGGAAGAACAAAUGUGUAAGUAACUAUGCCCGUCUUGACGGUACCUAAUCAGAAAGCCACGGCUAACUACGUG
rnacentral:rRNA from 1 species